rnacentral:rRNA from 1 species
AAUUUUGCGCAAUGGGCGAAAGCCUGACGCAGCAACGCCGCGUGAACGAUGAAGCCCUUCGGGGUGUAAAGUUCUGUCAGUGGGGACGAAACUUGACGGUACCCACAGAGGAAGCACCGGCUAACUCCGUGCCAGCAGCCGCGGUAAUACGGAGGGUGCAAGCGUUGUCCGGAAUCAUUGGGCGUAAAGCGUUCGUAGGCGGCAUACCAAGUCUGGUGUUAAAUCCCGGGGCUCAACUCCGGUCCGGCACUGGAUACUGGUAAGCUAGAAUGUGGUAGAGGUGAAGGGAAUUCCUGGUGUAGCGGUGAAAUGCGUAGAUAUCAGGAGGAACACCGGUGGCGUAAGCGCUUCACUGGACCAUAAUUGACGCUGAGGAACGAAAGCCGGGGGAGCAAAUGGG